GGGUAAAACAAUCUGUUUAAUGGUGGCCACAGCUUGGCCUUUUAUGCAAGUCCUCCAGCAAGGUAUACUCCCACAUGGAGGAAAGGGACAAAAUUACAGUAACCAAUCAACUUAGAGUUACAAUAUAAAACACUCCCACAUAAACUGUAAAAUCCCUCCUCUCUAUCCUGGAGAUAACUGGGUUAAGUGGUCAUAGUAAACUUAAUUAUCUCCAGGUACAGAAAAUAUUUCCAAGUUAUAAACUUCACAAAACACUUUAAAAUACAUAAAAUCAUCUUUCACAUAACCGAACCCCCAUAGUCGACAUAUCCCCAGAUAGCUUGGAUCUGGGCGCUCAAUAUAUCCAAAAAGCGCUCAGAUCCCAUGAACACAGUCGAAUCGCCAUGGGGUUAAAGGAUUUCACCGACCGUUCUGAAUAAGUCUGUCCAGAAUUAGUUCCAUGCUUUUAGCUAGUUCAUGUGUUUUCAUACGAAUGGAAAGUGGAGAAAUCAACAAAAAGGUGAAUGAAUCCCCUGGCUCAUAGUAUAGUAAUGGUUCGGUAGUUUCAGUCGAACAAACCAUCAAACCAGGUUCUCCUAGAUUGCUGCAGCCAGAAGCAGGCGUUCAGCCGUUUUGACCGGUGUUCAGGUCAUCAUAUAGCCGCCUCAGAGUUCCAUAUGCUCGAAAACCAUGUCAUGCUGCCUGCAUUUGUGUAUUCCCAAUGCUGUUUUAAGAUGUUUCCUGAAAGGUAAAAAAUCUGAUAUUACAUUAUAUCUUUUUUUAUGCUAACUGAUACAGUCAUUACUAUUAUUAUUUUACUUUGUGUAUGAUCUCUUAUAAAGCCAGUGCCAGUUCUUUUGUAUGCUCUGUCUGGGAUAACUUAACUUUUUGCUUUUCAAGCAUUAGCACUGAAAAACUUGUGAUUAAGCAGUAAUUCAAAAAGAUAAUCUUUUUUUUUUUUUGGGUGGCUAUCACUGGUUUAAGUUGUUAAUAGCCAGAGGGAUCUGUUACACAUUAUGCUUGACUGGGU